CGCUGGUUAUGUAAACCCAUCCCCGGCAGUUUAGAAACUGCCGGUUAUAUUGACCCCAUCCCCGGCGGUUUUAAAACCGCCGGGGAUAUGAUUUAUAUAACACCCCCUGAUUCCCGCGCCCCCACCCAAAUCUUCCCCUCGCCCCUGCCCAAAUCCUUCUCUUCCAAAAUGCCCUGCGCGCAAACCCUAACCCUUUCUUGCUCGCGCCUCGUCGUGUUGUCUCUGUCACUCGCUCUCGCCAUUGAGUCACUACCUCCCUCGCCCUCGCUCUCGUCUCGCUCAAUCGCUUCUUCUUGCUGCUCCAUAAUAGCGACUGUAAGUUUAAGCGUGACGUCGAUGCCGGCGUCAUGCUUCUUGACACCUCCAAGAGCUUCGGCCGUCACACCAACUAGAUCCUCCUCGGCAAGGUCAAUUAUGCUUCGCUUUCUGUGGUUUUUUGAUUUUUGAUUGUUUUUUUGGGUUCUGGACGAAUCGAAUUCGAAAUCGGAGUGAGUAUGGCGAUGGCGAGCUUGGCCAGAUGGAAGGCUUCGCAUCUCUUCUGCAAUUUCUUCUCUUCUGACGUUUUCAGAGGUAUAUGCAGCAGCACAACGAGGUGGAGCUGUCGGCGCUUGGCAUGGAUUGAGAUAGUACUCGGGAAAACAGAGAAGUUUGAUGAAUUAAUGGCAGCUGCUUUGGAGGGGAGAGAUCGUGGAGAAUGUGAAGAGCAGAGCUAAAGGGAAGGGGAUCUGAUGUAGCUCUUAGUUUUGCCAUCAUGGGGGUGUAAUACUAUAAAGAACCUAAUGUAGCUUGUAGCUUUUUAUGUGGUCCAGAGUUCUUUUCUUGUUCUUUGUCUUUCUUGUACGUUUAUUAAUCUCGAUAUAGAUCAAAUGACUAUCUAACUAGAAUAGGCUCUCAGAUAUGUAUAAUGACUAUCUUCACAUGCAUAUAGAUCAAAUGUGUUGUACUUAAAUAGAUUUAUUGUAUACAGUUGUUAUACUUAUUAUGUGUAGCAAGU